rnacentral:rRNA from 1 species
GUAUUGCCCUAGUAACGGCGAGUGAAGCGGCAACAGCUCAAAUUUGAAAUCUGGCGUCUUUGGCGUCCGAGUUGUAAUUUGCAGAGGGCGCUUUGGCAUUGGCAGCGGUCCAAGUUCCUUGGAACAGGACGUCACAGAGGGUGAGAAUCCCGUACGUGGUCGCUAGCCUUUACCGUGUAAAGCCCCUUCGACGAGUCGAGUUGUUUGGGAAUGCAGCUCUAAAUGGGAGGUAAAUUUCUUCUAAAGCUAAAUACUGGCCAGAGACCGAUAGCGCACAAGUAGAGUGAUCGAAAGAUGAAAAGCACUUUGGAAAGAGAGUUAAAAAGCACGUGAAAUUGUUGAAAGGGAAGCGCUUGCAGCCAGACUUGCCUGUAGUUGCUCAUCCGGGUUUUUACCCGGUGCACUCUUCUAUAGGCAGGCCAGCAUCAGUUUGGGCGGUUGGAUAAAGGUCUCUGUCACGUACCUCCUCUCGGGGAGAACUUAUAGGGGAGACGUAAUGCAACCAGCCUGGACUGAGGUCCGCGCAUCUGCUAGGAUGCUGGCGUAAUGGCUGUAAGCGGCCCGUCUUGAAACACGGACCAAGGAGUCUAACAUCUAUGCGAGUGUUUGGGUGUCAAGCCCGAGCGCGUAAUGAAAGUGAACGGAGGUGGGAACCUUUCGGGGUGCACCAUCGACCGAUCCUGAUGUCUUCGGAUGGAUUUGAGUAAGAGCAUAGCUGUUGGGACCCGAAAGAUGGUGAACUAUGCUUGAAUAGGGUGAAGCCAGAGGAAACUCUGGUGGAGGCUCGCAGCGGUUCUGACGUGCAAAUCGAUCGUCAAAUUUGGGCAUAGGGGCGAAAGACUAAUCGAACUAUCUAGUAGCUGGUUCCUGCCGAAGUUUCCCUCAGGAUAGCAGUAACGUUUUCAGUUUUAUGAGGUAAAGCGAAUGAUUAGAGGCCUGGGGGUUGAAACAACCUUCACCUAUUCUCAAACUUUAAAUAUGUAAGAAGUCCUUGUUACUUAAUUGAACGUGGACAGUUGAAUGUAUCGUUACUAGUGGGCCAUUUUUGGUAAGCAGAACUGGCGAUGCGGGAUGAACCGAACGCGGGGUUAAGGUGCCAGAAUAUACGCUCAUCAGACACCACAAAAGGUGUUAGUUCAUCUAGACAGCAGGACGGUGGCCAUGGAAGUCGGAAUCCGCUAAGGAGUGUGUAACAACUCACCUGCCGAAUGAACUAGCCCUGAAAAUGGAUGGCGCUCAAGCGUAUUACCCAUACCCCGCCGCUGGGGCAAGAUUUAAGCCCCAGCGAGUAGGCAGGCGUGGAGGUCCGUGACGAAGCCUGGG